CCUACGGGAGGCAGCAGUGGGGAAUAUUGGGCAAUGGGCGCAAGCCUGACCCAGCAACGCCGCGUGAGUGAAGAAGGCUUUCGGGUUGUAAACUUCUUUUCUCAGGGACGAAGGAAGUGACGGUACCUGACUAGUAAGCCACGGCUAACUACGUGCCAGCAGCCGCGGUAAUACGUAGGUGGCAAGCGUUAUCCGGAUUUAAUGGGUGUAAAGGGCGUGUAGGCGGGGGCGCAAGUCAGAUGUGAAAACUCAGGGCUCAACCCUGGGACUGCAUUUGAAACUGUGUGGCUUGAGUGCUGGAGAGGGAAGUGGAAUUCCGUGUGUAGCGGUGAAAUGCGUAGAUAUACGGAGGAACACCAGUGGCGAAGGCGGAUUGCUGGACAGUAACUGACGCUGAGGCGCGAAAGCGUGGGGAGCAAACAGGAUUAGAUACCCGGGUAGUC
rnacentral:rRNA from 1 species